AGAGGGCACGGCAACGGCGCCCUCCAUGGCGGCCAUGGCUGGUGCCCGCGCGGCGCCACGGCGGCGGCGGCGGUGGCCGGCUCGGCGCCAUGCCUGCGCGGCCAAAGCUGGCCCGGCCGGCCUCCUCCCCUGCCCCCUCACCUGUCGCACGCCAUUGCGGGCCUCCUCGAGCUCCACCGCGCGAGCUUGGCCGGGGCGGACCUCCUCGAGCUCAGCCACGCGAGUCUUCUCGGCGCACCCCCUCAUCACUCCCCCUCCUCCAGAUCCCGGCGUUAGCGGCAGAGGUGGGCCGCGUCGACCUCCUCCGCGCGCCAUGGACGACUGCGACGACCUCCGCGACGUGCCAUGACGGGCCGCCUCGACCUCCGCCGGUCGGAUCCACGCGCAGUCACCAUCGCGGAGCUCGUGGCGGCGUCCAGCAGCGGUGGUACCCCGCACAUGCAGUACCCCGCACCCCAGAACGCCGGCUAGCCGGGAGGCCAGUGCCACCGGCAUCCAUGGCCAGGAGCGCUUCCAGUGCCGCUGGCAUCCAUAGCCAUCACCUUGCAUACAGUUGCUGAGAAAUCGAACCUGCUGCAUCAAACCCCCAUCAAGAUCUAAACCUUUCCUCCUCCCUACUAAGGUUGCAAGCGAUAUUCACCUAAUCCCUGUGUCCAAGAAUGAAUCCACAGAACUGAUUUCUCCAGGCCGAGCAUCUGCCUCCAACCAUCCUAUAGCAGGACAGCAAGAUAUGAACAACAGUUUCAUAUGGAGGGACGCCAAUUAGGGGAAGCAGCAAAUCGAUUUUGCGAUGUAGGCAAGUUUUUGAUCUAGAAGGUAUUUGAUUUAUGCCCAUCCCUUUAGUGUUGUUUGCUCCUUCGUCGAAACCUUUCUUCUGACCUGUAGGCUGCUUGCUAGGAACAAUCCAUUGGAGGAUAAAGGUGAAUGCCAGAGCAUUGCAUUUAAACAUAAAUAUACAACAACAUACAGUUAGAGCCGAUGUUGCCCCCUGCAGGGCCUAUAGGUUAAAUAAUGUUGCCCAUUUGACCAUUGGAUGUCUUUCUUUGUUCCUCUUCUUGGAACACCUUUUGUUCUCCCUAAAAUGUUAAUUUCUGUUUUCCAGAGCUUCGAAAUGCUGUAUUUUCUAAAGUGACCUUGAGAGGCAUCCGUUCAGUUUCCAGGGCGGUAAAUAUUGGAGCUUAUUGUUUACUUUCCUUGCUGUUGUGCUGAUCAUCUCCACAUUUUUUUUUGCUACUGUCCAGAUGUUCCAACACCUUGCGAAUCUUUGUAGAAUAAAAUGCCUUGCUAUGUAGCUCUCCUAUAAAUGUCGGUGUUUUCGAAAUAAUUACUGUCCCAAAUGUUGGACAUGUAAUGAACAUGCUAGUGAACUGAUGCUUACAUACGCAUUGAAAUAUUUCCUUAGAUGGAGAUGGUUUGAAGACUACACAUCAUUCUUCCAAAUGACCAAAUCUAAAGUCAUAAUUGAAGCAUCGUCCUUUGACCUAUUCCAGUCAUAAGAUACUUCUGAUUAAUUUCCUCACUUGCAUGAUCUUGAUCUUCGCUACCAUCUAAGGUACUUAGAGGAAAUACUCCCUCCUGUACUAAUUUUCUCAGUCCCAAUCAUUCCAUUUAUUUAACUCUUGAUGUAUUUGAGAAAACAUCAGAACUCAAAAGUACCAUAGAAGGUUACCCAGAUAACGUCAGAGAAUUAGAUAACUUGACUGCUUGACUGCUGGUAUGAAAUUGGUUAUAUUUCUUGUUAGUUAGAAAAAAAAACUCAAGUCGAGGGACUACUGACUGCACUAUUUUCAUAGCAACAGUCCCAUUUUACUUCCAGUGACGGAGGGAGUAGUUACCUAAUAAACAUCUGUGGAAACAAGCCUUACGAAUUCAGCACUGUUUGUUAUAUAUGUUCCCUCCAGUCAUGAUAAAAUGAUGUUAGGACGCACAAUUAAACUACCCUUAGUUGUUUCUGUGCUAACUUCAUGUUAUUAUGACUGCCAGGAGUACCUUUUUCCAGCAAUUGCUGCAUACAAGGUGGAGAAUAUUUGAAGUCGAAAACUUAUGCUUCUUACUUGCUUCUGUGUUUCUAACCAACAAACUGUAGGCCAAUCCAUCCACUCAAACCCGUGCUCUGCUGGUGACCAUACAUGGAGGAUAAGCUGCUUUUUGCGUGGACAUGCUCCCUCUGACAAACUUCGGAUCCAUGCGCGGCAGCCACACCUACACAGGGUGCCGCGGCAAGAACAGAACCUACAGCUACACCUUUCGAAGCCACGCCCUUCAACAAAGUUCAGAUUAUGUAACCUAUCGUACUAUGUGCUGUGUAUUUGGACCGUUACUACCGCCGUAUCAAAAAACCUAUGUAAUGACCAUAUUUGCGCCUUCUAAUUUGGAACAGCAGCAAACGCCGUUCUAGCUGAUC